ensembl:lncRNA
GGGACUCAGGGUCCCUGGUCUCCGUACCCAUCCCCGCCCUGGGGGUCUUUUGGCCCCGAGUCCUAGUGCCUGUCACUUUGCGGAGGCGUGUGGUCCAGGUCUCUGCUUCCCCAGCAGGCUUGCGGGGUUCCUCUCUAUGGCAAGCUGAGCCUAAACCCUUAGAGUCGGAAAGGGAAGGGACCAUUGCAUUCUUUCCAUUUUCUCUUUGACAUUAGAGGGGGAGGCAGUCCAGAGCAGGGAGGUCAUUUGUCCCAAAUCCUGAGGAUUACUGGCCCCGUAGUGUAGAUGGUACAGCUGGAAGGGCUUCAGGAAAUCCAGCUGUCAAUUAAGCUGAGAACUAGGUGGUGCUCGGCCAGGGCCGGCCCCCAGUCCCUGGGCUCCUGGGCCCAGUUUGGGGUUCUGAUUUUCCUGCAGCGCCACCACAGCUGUAAUGCAGUGGCAGGGCCUGAGAAGAGGGCUCUGUGGGCACCCACAGCUCCAAUCUACACACUUGCCGGAGGUUCCCCUUUGCCAGCCUGGCAGGGUGGGGGCAGGGAGGCACCAAGGGGGGUGGGGGCCAGAGCAGCUGUCUGGUGGGGAGGCAUGUGGGGUUGGGGGUGGAGCCGACUUGGAGGGGACAUUUCUGGAGGCAGGAGCCACGGUGGGAAGGGAUGGUGGUAGAGGUGGAGAAGGGGGUGUCAGUGAGCCACUGUGGGGUGUGCGGAGGGAGAUGGAGGACCAGGAGGGGUGAUGCUGACUCCUGACUUAGACACCUGAGUGCAUGAUGACACAGGAAGAGGCCGGUGAGGUGGGGGCCGGGGAGAAGUCAGUGGGGAAGACAGUGUUAGCCCUGUCAGAUGUGCGUGCUGGAGACGAUCCAGAUGGACGUGGCCAGCAGGCCCUGGGCCCCAGGAGACCCCUGUCAUCGGUGGUGGGACCCUUCACUGGUAGCAUGAUUGUUAUGUGGUUGCCCCUACAGUCCUGACAGCCAAGGGGCUGUCUGCAGGAUCUUUGACCGUCAUAGCUCCAGUGAGCACAUGUCUCUGGUCUCUCUUUGGCGUCAGUGUGAAAUGGCCUGGAGUUGAGCUGUCUUGGUUACCUUGAAACCAAGGUCCAGGCUGCUGCAGACUGUUGGAACCUGCAUCUUGCUGUUUCUCACUCCCCCAGGGCUGUUUGCUGCCUGCUGAGGGCUCUGGUGGAUCAGAGGUAAAGCCCGUGGGCUGCUUGCUGGCUGUAUUCACAACUAUCACAUGUGCCUGGAAGCAGGUGUCUGUGCUUAGUUCAGAUCCAGGGUCCACCGAGGCCCAGGUGAGCAGUGGCGUUGCUGCUGGUUAGCGGGAGCCAGUCCUGGUUGAGUCCUGCCACACUGCUUACCAGCUGCUAAGUGUCCUCUCAGACAUGCUUGGCUGUGGCUGUGCAGAUUAAAGGAGAUGGCGCCUCUAAGGUAUUAACUGCGGGAUGUGGGGGUGUGGGGGGCGGCCCUUCCAGACCCUUCCCCCAUGGAGUGCUGUGCCUUCUGUACUGUGCUCACAGGUCUGUCUGCUCCGUGGAGGGCAGGGUCUGGGCUGCCAUCCCUCUGGCCUGCGGCAGGGGCAGCUGGUAGAAGCUUUCAAAGCCGGUCAAGGCCAGCUCUUCAGUCACUACUAAGGGAGCUGAUGCUUUUUCCCAGUGCUUGGUUUUUGAAAAGUCUAACCCAGAUCCCUGAUUGACAGACGUGUUUUUUCUAACACCGUGAACUCACGUAAGGGCUUCUGUAGACAGACACCCAUUUGGGCUUGUCGGGGACCCUCCACAGGCUCUGCUGGCUGUCCUUCCCUGUGUGGUGGCCACAGCACUGAUGACAUCUGGUGCCGGCAGAGUGCAGCUGUGUGCCAGGCCUCAUCCCAGCCUUUCACUGGUGACGCGGGGAGAGCCGAGUCUGGGGCUCACCGGCUGGGCGCUGCCUGCUGCCGGUUUCCUGUAGGUCCUGUUGUGUAGGGAGCUCCUUUACAUGUUAUUCUAGACCCACUAGCCUCUUGUCAUUUCUAUCGCGACAGACUCGUCCCAUCUGGUCUUUUAUUUACUUUAUGCUCCACUGAGGCUGGGUGAGGUGUGAGCACAUAGGGUUGUGGGCAUGGGUGUGUGUGUGUAUGGAUGUGGUUUUCAAGUGAUGUAUGCUUUUGACUUUCGGAAAUUAAAAAAUUUUAUGUGGUCCAGCUGAACGGUGUUUAUCAAAGCGCACGAGCUUUUGUGUCUGGCUUAGAAAACCCUUUCCUAUGCCAAGACUAUAUACUGUCUUCACUUAGGACGUACGUUUCAUUUUCACAUCUAGCAUUUAUUUGGGGAAGACUGAUUUUUUCCCCUAAGUGCCUCGACGCUAUUUAUUGGCUAAUCUGUCUUUUCUAAAGCAUCUUUUUAUUAUUUAAAAUCCUGCCUUUCUUCUCCUUCCUCACUGGUGUUUAUUUCUGGACUUUUUAUGCAGUUCUGUUGAUCUGUGCAUCUCACAACAGUAGCACAGUUUAAUUACAGUAGCCUUUUAAUACACUUAACAUAAGCCAGGACAAAUCCCCGCUUUCAUAUACUUUUCAAAGUUUAGUUGCCUAUUGUUGCAUGCUGAUUCUUCCAUAUGAACUUGGAGCCGUUUCAUCAAGUUCCCUCCAGUAUUCUGAUUUACAUAUUUAUAGAUUAAGGAAAAUUGACAGUUUUAUAGUACUGAGGCUUAUAGGAGGAUUUUUUUUUUAAUUUUUAAUUAAAAAAAUUUUUUUUGGAGUUCCUAUCAUGGUGCAGCAGAAACAAAUCCAGCUAGGAACCAUGAGGUUGCAGGUUCGAUCCCUGGCCUUGCUCAGUGGGUUAAGGAUCCGGCGUUGCGGUGAGCCGUGGUGUAGGUUGCAGACAUGGCUCAGAUCCUGCAUUGCUGUGGCUGUGGCUGUGGCCAGUGGCUACAGCUCUGAUUUGACCCCUAGCCUGGGAACCUUCAUAUGCCACAGGUACGGCCCUAAAAAGACAAAAAAAAAUUUUUUUUUUAAUGGCCACACCUGUGGUAUAUGAAUUUUCUGGGCUAGGGAUUGUAUCUGAGCUGCACCUGAGCCCUACACCACAGCUGUGGCAAUGCCAGAUCGUUUAACCCACUGCAUCAGGCUGGGGAUAGAACCGGCGCCACUGCAGCAAUCCGAGCUGCUGCAAUCGGAUUCUUUUUUUUUUUUCUUUUUUGGGCUGCACCUGUGGCAUACGGACGUUCCCAGGUCUAGGGUCAAGUAAGAGCUGUAGCUGAGGCCCACACCACAGCCAUGGUCACGCUGGACCUGAGCCACAUCUGUGACCUAUGCUGUAGCUUGUGGCAACAGCACAUCCUUAACCCACUGAGCCAGGCCAGGGAGCAAACCCUCAUCCUCACAGAGACUAGUCCAGUUUUUAUCCUGCUGAGCCACAACGGCAGCUCCUGCAGUCGGAUUCUUAACCCACUGUGCCACAGCAGGAGCUCCUCCGGGAGGACUUUCUUUUCCUUCAGUGAACUGUUUGGGUUUUGGUUUUUGGUUUUUGUUGCACCCACAGCAUAUGGAAGGAAGUUCCCUGGCCAGGGAUUGCAGUGACCUGAGCUGGAUCCUUAAGCUCCAUACCAUAGUGGGAACUCCACAGUUUUUUUUUAAUUGUAUGCAGACUCAAGAUAUAAAUCAGAACUUCCCUCCCGCUCAGGGUGCUCUGAAGGCGACCGGCACAUAGAAAUGUGACUCUGGUGCUGACCCCUUGUGCACUCGGGGCCCCGGGGCUGCGGGAUUGCUGGAUGGCUUGGCUUGGCGCGGGGGGAGGGCGCCAAGUUUGGUAGAGAAAUUGGCCCUAGAGGAAUGAGUGGGUUUCCCACGGUACAGAGGGCAGAGCAGGGCACACGUGGGGAGGACAGCAGAAGCAGAAGUACCAGAGCCCAAGCCCUGGCCCGCAGGGCUCAGGUGCCAGGACAUCUGCCACCUGAGGGGAGCAAGAGAAGCAGAGAGAAGCUGGGACUGGGCUGCAGCAGCCCUUGGUGAAGGUGUCGGUUCGAUGCUGCGGGCAGCGGUGAGGACUGAUGGGCAGCGGUGUGGCAUGAUGUGACCUGUUCGACUAAGGUCACACUCCCAGCGUGGACGAAGUGGCCACGCAGGGCAGGUUAGGCGAGGCGGCCACCAGGGAAGGGUCUCAGUGAGGGAGCAGGGCACCUGCUUCCGGAUGCGAGGGCUGCAAGCGCGGUGAGGAGGGUGACCGGGCAGGGAGCCGACCUUCAUCGCCAGGUGUCUGCCGCUGAGUGGCGCCCCCUAGUGGUGCUCACCUGUCAUCCGUCCCUUAGCGGGUAUUCAAAGAGCAGUUGUUGGAUGAAUUUAUUUCAGUUUAUGAGGCGUCUCUUUUACAGAUUUUGCUUUCAGUGUCAGGGCGGUUUUCCUCUGUGCUUCUUUUCAGAUGUUUUAUAGUUUUAAGUUUUGGAUUUAGGUCUCUGAAUCCUUCUGAGUUUUUGUGGUGGUGUGAGGUACAGGCUGGAGUUUAUUUCAUGGGGAUGUCCAGUUGUUUGGUACUGUUUGUUGACAGACUAUCAGUUCUCCACUCAGUUGCCUUUGGACCUUUGUCGAAAAUCAAUUAGCCAUAUACAUCUUAAAGUCCUUUGGUGUAAUCUCUCUAAUUUUGUUUUGUUUUGCUUUUUUCAGAGUUGUCUUGGCUCCUCUGGGACCUUUGCAUUUCUGUAUGAAUUUUCUUUUUUCUUUUUUUUGGCCACACCCGUGUCAUGCGGAAGUUCCCGGGCCAGGGGCUGGGAACCUCCACAUGCUGCAGGUGUGGACCUAAAAAGCAAAAAAAAGCAAGUCCUCAUCUGCUAAUUCUUUCCUCCGAGCUGUUCCUGGGUCGGCAUUUAUUCAUUGCUUCCUCCUCAUUAUGGGUUGCGUUUCUUGCUUCUUUGUGUGCCUGGUGAUUUUUAAUUUCGUGUCAGAUAUUGUUCUUUUACUGUGUUGAUCCCAGAUGUUUUGGGUUCCUUUUGUUACUCUUGGGCCUUGUGUUGAGCUGGGAACAGUUUGAUCCUUUCAGGGCUUUCAGCUUUGUUAGGUGAAACCAGAAUGGCAUUUAGUCUAGGGCUCGUGUCCCUCCCGGAGCCCUGAGUUGUCACCCUCCUCCGCUGUCCCCAUUGCUGGGAGCAGACUCUUUCCUGGCCCAUUUCGAGCUCCAGGGAUUGUUUUCCUUUUUUUUGGGGGGGGGUACCUGUGGCACAUGGAGGUUCCCAGGCUAGGGGUCCAAUCGGAGCUGCAGCUGCCAGCCUACACCACAGCCACAGCAACUCGGGAUCCGAGCCGCGUCUGCAACCUACACCACAGCUCACGGCAACACCAGAUCCUUAAUCCACGGAGUGAGGCCGGGGAUCAAACCCGCGUCCUCAUGGUUCCUCGUCGAUGCGUUUCCGCUGCGCCAGGACAGAAUUGCCUCGGGGGCUCUUGAGGUCAGAAGUCUGAUGUGGAUCUCACUGGGCUAAAACCGGGGCCUGGUGGGGCUGUGCUCCUUUCUGGGAAGGAUCUGUUUCCGGCCGUUCUAGAUCGUUGGCAGAUUUGGUUCUUGGUGGCUCUAGGACUGCGAGGCCCCCUUUUCUUGCUGAGGGUUGGCCCCAGCUUUUAGAGGUUACCCACACUUCUCGGCCCAGGGCCUCCUUCCUCGAUCUUCGGAGCCAGCCACGCCCAUGCGGUGGGUUCUCCCCCUUCUUCUGUCUCAUCUCUGAGGUGGCUGGGAACGCCUCUGCCUUUAAGGACUUAGCUGGAAGAGUUCCCUGUGCAUGCUGCAGGCGUGGCGAGAACCAAACAAAAAAGGCAUGUGAGUAGGCCCACCUGCUCCCCCUUUUGUCCGGUGUGGUGACACGUUCAGGUUCUGGACAUGAGGGGUGGGCAUCUUGGGGACAUUGUUCUGUGCCCAGCCCUGGCCAGUCAGUCAGCUGAGUGGCCCGGGGCCCCUGGGCAGGCCUGUAGAGUUCCCUCUGGUACCAGAGCCUGCAAGCUCCAGCAGCACCGGGUCUCCUGAGAGGCCCCGUCCUCCUCUGAGAUGCAGGUGCAGCGCCAGCCCUUCUGGCGGUGACCAGAGCCGUCUCGGGCUUAUGCGUCCUUUAUUUCCAGGUGUCCAUCAGCCACAGAUCUCUGGUUUCGUGGGUUUUGUCCAGCUUUUCAGGGGCUUAGGCGGAGACGGCAGACUGUGCGUCCCGCUGACUGAUGCUUGUCUGCUCCUGUUGGAGUCGGGCGAGCCGAGCUGUGUGCCCGGGUGAAGGGCGCUCCAAACGUGUGGGGCUGGAGCUGGUCAGCCCUGUUUUUCUGAGGCCCUGGAGGAAGGCAGCUGUGGGUCUUCACAGGGCAGGGACGGGCUGUGGCCUUGCACACACGAUCUGGGCGCUCAGGAUGCGGGUUCUGUGAGCCCGAGUGCCCGCCUCUGCGAAGUGUCACGGGCCCUCUGGAGCCUGCGGCCAGCGCGCCUCAUACCCGCCCGGUGGCUCUGGCGUUUUCAGCCCUUUGCCUUUUCAGAGGUGGGGACUUGCCUUUGUGCUCCGCUGCCAAUGGAAUGUGCUUUUAUUCCUUGUUUUCCGUGUUACUUUUAGAUGCUUUCCAGGAAGAGAGGGGACACCUUGCUGAUGCCACCGUCCUCAAACCAGUCUUCUCCACCUGCCUGCUGUCUGCCCGGGAUUCCUGGAAACUUCUGGUCUGCUAAUUUGAUCUUAACCUCCUUUCUGGUGCUCUUGUGGGUUAAUGCUCUUAAAACACGUAUCUUUUCUUUCAUCUCACUGGGGUUUUGGUGGGGCGGGUCAGUGAAAGCUUGGGACAAGCCUGCCCUCCGGAUCUCGGAUUCUCGCUUAUUUUCAGCCCCACCGCCUCGCACGCAUCCUGUGGCUUGUCCCUCUGCCUCCUUCCUGUGGGUGUCGGCUCACCGAGCAGGUCCUCCCGCUCAGGAGCAGGGCCUGGCCUCUCCUUUGCGGGUUGUCCCUUGUGUGGACGAGCUGUGAUCAGGGCGUGAAGGGCAGGGCAGGUGCCCGCUGGUGGGGGACACGGUGCCUCACGGGCCCUGAGAGUGUGACUUCACACGGGGAGGGGAGGUACUUGCAUAUUUUGUGGGCUUUAUUCUUGAGUCCCUCUGCUGCAAGUGGUGCUUGAAAGCUGUGACUCUCGAUUCCUGUGGCCCGUUUGGUUGGUUUCAGGCUCCAGAGAUCAUGCCAGACCCUGGGCUGCCCAUCCAGCCUCUCUCAUUUAAUGCUGUGCACGUAUUCUCAGACAUGGGGUGUCCCAGCCCUGCAGCGGUCAAGGCCAUUGUUCUGGCCCCGGAGAGAAGCUCCCUGCUCUGCACAGUCUGUCAGCGACCCCGGGCCUUACCUGUGCCCUCUCUUCUUCCCAGAGUGAAGGAACAUGCUGUCGUGCAGGCAGUGACCACGCUUGCCCAGGCCACCGGGGCCCAACCAGGCCGCGGCCUUGUGUGCUUACCCCACUUGGGCGGGGCUGGGGGUGCUGGGGUGGAGGAGAGCGGGUAGCUGCUGAGGGGCUGGUGUCUCUUGUCCUGCACGAGCAAUUCGGCCAGAGUGUGGCAGAGAGAGUUCCCGGGAACAGGCUUGUUCCAGCCUCGUGCCUAACCCAGCAUGCUCACUUCCCGAAAACCGAGGAGGCUCAUGACUGCCGCGCUGCUCUCUUGGUUACUCCAGGUUGGAGGAGAUCUGUCCACGCUCACACUGGGCAAGAGGAAGCCAAGACCACAGCCAUGAGCGAGUCACAUGUGCAGAGUGAGUGCAGGGGCUCGGCACCCUCCCUGUGCACGGGACGCAGAGGAGCCCGUGACAUCGAAUAAGUGUGCUUUGAAGGAUUGAUAGUCACGUGAACACACCUCUCUGUUGUCAUUAAAAAAAGAAAAGAAAGGAGUUCCCGUCGUGGUGCAGUGGAAACGAAUCUGACUAGCAUCCAUGAGGAUGCAGGUUUGAUUCCUGGCCUUGCUCAGUGGGUUAGGAUCCGGCGUUGCCGUGAGCUGUGGCUCUAGGUCGCAGACACAGCUCAGAUCCCACGUUGCUGUGGCCAUGGCGUAGGCCGGCAGCUGCAGCUCCGUUUCGAUCCCUAGCCUGGGAACCUCUGUAUGCCACGGGUGCAGCCCUAAAAAAGACAAAAAAAAAAAAAAAAAA